rnacentral:rRNA from 1 species
AUGAGCAGCAGUACAAACUCCACAAUGCCCAAUCUCGUCUGAUCUCAUAAACUAAGCGGGGUUAGACCUGGUUAGUCCUGGGAUGGGAGACCUCUAAGAAUACAGUGAGCAGAGGUGGCUCUAA